UACGUAGGGGGCAAGCGUUGUCCGGAAUCAUUGGGCGUAAAGAGCGUGUAGGCGGCCCGAUAAGUCCGCUGUGAAAGUCCAGGGCUCAACCCUGGGAUGCCGGUGGAUACUGUCGGGCUCGAGUCCGGAAGAGGAGUGUGGAAUUCCUGGUGUAGCGGUGAAAUGCGCAGAUAUCGGGAGGAACACCCGUAGCGAAGGCGGCACUCUGGGCCGGAACUGACGCUGAGGAGCGAAAGCGUGGGGAGCGAACAGG
rnacentral:rRNA from 1 species